GAUGAAGAACGCAGCGAAAUGCGAUAAGUAAUGUGAAUUGCAGAACUCAGUGAAUCAUCGAAUCUUUGAACGCACAUUGCGCCCCCUGGCAUUCCGGGGGGCAUGCCUGUCCGAGCGUCAUUUCUGCCCUCAAGCACGGCUUGUGUGUUGGGUGUGGUCCCCCCGGGGACCUGCCCGAAAGGCAGCGGCGACGUCCGUCUGGUCCUCGAGCGUAUGGGGCUCUGUCACUCGCUCGGGAAGGACCUGCGGGGGUUGGUCACCACUAUAUUUUACCACGGUUGACCUCGGAUCAGGUAGGAGUUACCCGCUGAACUUAAGCAUAUCAAUAAGCGGAGGA
rnacentral:misc_RNA from 1 species